UCAGAGCAGUGGUGAGGGCCCUUAGC
rnacentral:piRNA from 1 species